rnacentral:rRNA from 1 species
GUUAUCGAAUAGGUAAUACAUAGCAUAUCAGAAGGCACACCCGGAGAACUGAAACAUCUUAGUACCCGGAGGAAGAGAAAGAAAAUUCGAUUCCCUUAGUAGCGGCGAGCGAAACGGGAAUAGCCCAAACCAACAAGCUUGCUUGUUGGGGUUGUAGGACACUCUAUACGGAGUUACAAAGGACGACAUUAGACGAAUCAUCUGGAAAGAUGAAUCAAAGAAGGUAAUAAUCCUGUAGUCGAAAAUGUUGUCUCUCUUGAGUGGAUCCUGAGUACGACGGAGCACGUGAAAUUCCGUCGGAAUCUGGGAGGACCAUCUCCUAAGGCUAAAUACUCUCUAGUGACCGAUAGUGAACCAGUACCGUGAGGGAAAGGUGAAAAGCACCCCGGAAGGGGAGUGAAAUAGAACCUGAAACCGUGUGCUUACAAGUAGUCAGAGCCCGUUAAUGGGUGAUGGCGUGCCUUUUGUAGAAUGAACCGGCGAGUUACGAUUUGAUGCAAGGUUAAGCAGUAAAUGUGGAGCCGUAGCGAAAGCGAGUCUGAAUAGGGCGUUUAGUAUUUGGUCGUAGACCCGAAACCAGGUGAUCUACCCUUGGUCAGGUUGAAGUUCAGGUAACACUGAAUGGAGGACCGAACCGACUUACGUUGAAAAGUGAGCGGAUGAACUGAGGGUAGCGGAGAAAUUCCAAUCGAACCUGGAGAUAGCUGGUUCUCUCCGAAAUAGCUUUAGGGCUAGCCUCAAGUGAUGAUUAUUGGAGGUAGAGCACUGUUUGGACGAGGGGCCCCUCUCGGGUUACCGAAUUCAGACAAACUCCGAAUGCCAAUUAAUUUAACUUGGGAGUCAGAACAUGGGUGAUAAGGUCCGUGUUCGAAAGGGAAACAGCCCAGACCACCAGCUAAGGUCCCAAAAUAUAUGUUAAGUGGAAAAGGAUGUGGCGUUGCCCAGACAACUAGGAUGUUGGCUUAGAAGCAGCCAUCAUUUAAAGAGUGCGUAAUAGCUCACUAGUCGAGUGACACUGCGCCGAAAAUGUACCGGGGCUAAACAUAUUACCGAAGCUGUGGAUUGUCCUUUGGACAAUGGUAGGAGAGCGUUCUAAGGGCGUUGAAGCAUGAUCGUAAGGACAUGUGGAGCGCUUAGAAGUGAGAAUGCCGGUGUGAGUAGCGAAAGACGGGUGAGAAUCCCGUCCACCGAUUGACUAAGGUUUCCAGAGGAAGGCUCGUCCGCUCUGGGUUAGUCGGGUCCUAAGCUGAGGCCGACAGGCGUAGGCGAUGGAUAACAGGUUGAUAUUCCUGUACCACCUAUAAUCGUUUUAAUCGAUGGGGGGACGCAGUAGGAUAGGCGAAGCGUGCGAUUGGAUUGCACGUCUAAGCAGUAAGGCUGAGUAUUAGGCAAAUCCGGUACUCGUUAAGGCUGAGCUGUGAUGGGGAGAAGACAUUGUGUCUUCGAGUCGUUGAUUUCACACUGCCGAGAAAAGCCUCUAGAUAGAAAAUAGGUGCCCGUACCGCAAACCGACACAGGUAGUCAAGAUGAGAAUUCUAAGGUGAGCGAGCGAACUCUCGUUAAGGAACUCGGCAAAAUGACCCCGUAACUUCGGGAGAAGGGGUGCUCUUUAGGGUUAACGCCCAGAAGAGCCGCAGUGAAUAGGCCCAAGCGACUGUUUAUCAAAAACACAGGUCUCUGCUAAACCGUAAGGUGAUGUAUAGGGGCUGACGCCUGCCCGGUGCUGGAAGGUUAAGAGGAGUGGUUAGCUUCUGCGAAGCUACGAAUCGAAGCCCCAGUAAACGGCGGCCGUAACUAUAACGGUCCUAAGGUAGCGAAAUUCCUUGUCGGGUAAGUUCCGACCCGCACGAAAGGCGUAACGAUUUGGGCACUGUCUCAACGAGAGACUCGGUGAAAUCAUAGUACCUGUGAAGAUGCAGGUUACCCGCGACAGGACGGAAAGACCCCGUGGAGCUUUACUGUAGCCUGAUAUUGAAAUUCGGCACAGCUUGUACAGGAUAGGUAGGAGCCUUUGAAACGUGAGCGCUAGCUUACGUGGAGGCGCUGGUGGGAUACUACCCUAGCUGUGUUGGCUUUCUAACCCGCACCACUUAUCGUGGUGGGAGACAGUGUCAGGCGGGCAGUUUGACUGGGGCGGUCGCCUCCUAAAAGGUAACGGAGGCGCUCAAAGGUUCCCUCAGAAUGGUUGGAAAUCAUUCAUAGAGUGUAAAGGCAUAAGGGAGCUUGACUGCGAGACCUACAAGUCGAGCAGGGUCGAAAGACGGACUUAGUGAUCCGGUGGUUCCGCAUGGAAGGGCCAUCGCUCAACGGAUAAAAGCUACCCCGGGGAUAACAGGCUUAUCUCCCCCAAGAGUUCACAUCGACGGGGAGGUUUGGCACCUCGAUGUCGGCUCAUCGCAUCCUGGGGCUGUAGUCGGUCCCAAGGGUUGGGCUGUUCGCCCAUUAAAGCGGUACGCGAGCUGGGUUCAGAACGUCGUGAGACAGUUCGGUCCCUAUCCGUCGUGGGCGUAGGAAAUUUGAGAGGAGCUGUCCUUAGUACGAGAGGACCGGGAUGGACAUACCUCUGGUGUACCAGUUGUCGUGCCAACGGCAUAGCUGGGUAGCUAUGUGUGGACGGGAUAAGUGCUGAAAGCAUCUAAGCAUGAAGCCCCCCUCAAGAUGAGAUUUCCCAACUUCGGUUAU